UACCAGCACCCCGAGUGGUCGGGACGUUUAUUGGGCCUAAAGCAUCCGUAGCCGGUUCUACAAGUCUUCCGUUAAAUCCAACUGCUUAACAGGUGGGCUGCGGAAGAUACUAUAGAGCUAGGAGGCGGGAGAGGCAAGCGGUACUCGAUGGGUAGGGGUAAAAUCCGUUGAUCCAUUGAAGACCACCAGUGGCGAAGGCGGCUCACUGGCCUGAUACUGACGCUGAGGCACGAAAGCGUGGGGAGCAAACAGG
rnacentral:rRNA from 1 species